rnacentral:lncRNA from 1 species
CAUCAAGUCAUAGCUUUGCGGGCAAUAGAUCAGAGGAUAUUGCCAGUUUUCUAAUGGAUUAUUGUUAUCGGGCAGGUUUUCUCUGAAGGAGUCACGGAGAAGGAGAUAUCUAAAGUGAUACUUGUUGGCCCCUCCGUAACUGGACCGAUGGCGAUAUUAGACAGUUCCAGAAGAGUAAGGAGCAUGUAAACGUACCUGAGGAUUGCCAUGAAGGACCAAAUGAGGUAAACUGACCUGGAAGAGAAGUUCUAUAAUAAUAGCAUCUGUUAUUUAACAAUUAUUUAGUAAGUAUUAUCUGAUAUAACAAAGGUAUUAAAAAAAG